rnacentral:misc_RNA from 1 species
CGUUGCGGCCGAGGACUUCGGCCGCGGAGUAGCCGGAGAGGGCGAGGAAGCCACGGGAGGCGAAGACGAUGGGGUGAUUGGGGAGGGCGGGAUCGGUGAUGAGGAAGCUGCUGCUGAGGUCGUCAACGGCGUCGGUGAUCCAGUCGGGAACGGCAGUGGAGGCAGCGGUGGCGGCGGCGGCUAAGCUCCCCAUCGAUGAAACAUGCUCGUGCG